UACGAAGGGGGCUAGCGUUGCUCGGAAUCACUGGGCGUAAAGGGUGCGUAGGCGGGUCUUUAAGUCAGGGGUGAAAUCCUGGAGCUCAACUCCAGAACUGCCUUUGAUACUGAAGAUCUUGAGUUCGGGAGAGGUGAGUGGAACUGCGAGUGUAGAGGUGAAAUUCGUAGAUAUUCGCAAGAACACCAGUGGCGAAGGCGGCUCACUGGCCCGAUACUGACGCUGAGGCAAGAAAGCGUGGGGAGCAAACAGG
rnacentral:rRNA from 1 species